GCCGGGUGCGGUGGCAUGUGCCUGUAAUCCAAGUCACUGGGAGGCUGAGGUUGGUGGAUCAAGUGAGCUGAGGAGCUCUGGGCUGCAGCACACUAUGUGGAACGGGUGUCCACGCUAAGUUCGGUAUCGAUAUGGUGUUCCUGGGGAGCCCGGACCACCAGGUUGUCUAAGGAGGGGUGAACCGGCCCAGGUCGGAAACGAAGCAGGUCAAAUCCCCCGUGCUGUCCAGUAGUGGGAUAAUACCUGUGAGUAGAUGCUGCAGUGCAGCCUUGGCGAAACAUCGAGACCUAAUCUUUC
rnacentral:SRP_RNA from 1 species